GGGAAUCUUGCACAAUGGGGGCAACCCUGAUGCAGCGACGCCGCGUGAGCGAUGAAGCCCUUCGGGGCGUAAAGCUCUUUCGACCGGAACGAUAAUGACGGUACCGGGAGAAGAAGCUGCGGCUAACUACGUGCCAGCAGCCGCGGUAAUACGUAGGCAGCAAGCGUUGUUCGGAGUUACUGGGCGUAAAGAGUGCGUAGGCGGUUUUCUAAGUUCGGUGUGAAGUCUCCCGGCUUAACUGGGAGGGUGCGCCGAAGACUGGGAAGCUGGAGUGUGGGAAAGGCAGGCGGAAUUCCUGGUGUAGCGGUGAAAUGCGUAGAUAUCAGGAGGAACACCGGCGGUGUAGACGGCUUGCUAGACCAUAACUGACGCUGAGGCACGAAAGCGUGGGUAGCAAACA
rnacentral:rRNA from 1 species